rnacentral:sRNA from 1 species
AGGCAAAAAUGAUAAAGAACCACUAAUAAUAUAUUAUGUAGUAGUAUUUUAUCAUUAGUCACAGCUUCUGUGUUGGGGCCCACACCCAACUUGCAUUGCCUGUAGAAUUUCUUUUCGAAAUUCUCUUUGUUGGGGCCCCUGACUAUAAUUGGAAAAUGCUUGUUACAAGCUUAUUUUCAUUCAAUUAACUACUGUCUAUAUAAAAUUGUUGAGCCUAGAUCAAUGUGAAAU